AGACUCUGGUUUCUUUUUAAAUCACAAAAAUCUUUCACCUUUUACUAAAGAUUUCUGUGGAAAGAAAGAUAGGGAGACUUUUUUCUCCUUCAUGAAUACUACUACUAGAACC